UGAGGAAUAUUGCACAAUGGGCGAAAGCCUGAUGCAGCGACGCCGCGUGGGUGAAGAAGGUUUUCGGAUCGUAAAACCCUUUUCUGUGUGACGAGAACGGACGGUAGCACAGGAAUAAGUCUCGGCUAACUACGUGCCAGCAGCCGCGGUAAAACGUAGGAGACAAACGUUAUCCGGAGUUACUGGGCGUAAAGGGCGUGCAGGCGGCAGUCUAAGUCUGGCGUGAAAUAUCCCGGCUCAACCGGGGAAGGUCGUCGGAUACUGGGCAGCUAGAGGACGGUAGAGGCGUGUGGAAUUCCGGGUGUAGUGGUGAAAUGCGUAGAGAUCCGGAGGAACACCAGUGGCGAAGGCGACACGCUGGGCCGUACCUGACGCUAAGACGCGACAGCAUGGGGAGCAAACAGGAUUAGAUACCCAAGUAGUCCCUGAGCGGGCUGGCAAGGCGCAU
rnacentral:rRNA from 1 species